rnacentral:snoRNA from 1 species
GUACAUCUAUCUGACAGACCUGGAGCAGUUACAUCUGCUGCUAGGGUUUCCACUAGAGAGGCAAGAAUAAAGUGUUCUCGCACUUUCUAUGUGUCUGACUGUGGCAGCCAAGAUUGAAAGGGGGAAUAGAGGA